GACGAACGCUGGCGGCGUGCUUAACACAUGCAAGUCGAACGGAAAGGUCCUGCUUUUGUGGGGUGCUCGAGUGGCGAACGGGUGAGUAACACGUGAGUAACCUGCCCUUGACUUUGGGAUAACUUCAGGAAACUGGGGCUAAUACCGGAUAGGAGCUCCUGCUGCUUGGUGGGGGUUGGAAAGUUUCGGUGGUUGGGGAUGGACGCGCGGCUUAUCAGCUUGUUGGUGUGGUAGUGGCUUACCAAGGCUUUGACGGGUAGCCGGCCUGGGAGGGUGACCGGCCACAUUGGGACUGGGAUACGGCCCAGACUCCUACGGGACGCAGCGGUGGGGAAUAUUGCACAAUGGGCGGAAGCCUGGUGCAACAACGCCGCGUGCGGGAAAACGGCCUGCGGGUUGUAAACCGCUUUCGCCUGUGACGAAGCGUUAGUGACGGUAAUGGGUGAAGAAGCACCGGCUAACUACGUG
rnacentral:rRNA from 1 species